GACCCUGCAGCCUCGGGGCGGGGGAAGAAGACACACCCCUGCCCCCCCCCCCCCCCCUCCGUCCCGCCGGGCGGCCUGCUCCCGCUGCCCCCACGCCGACGGGCGCCCUCCGGCGCGCCAGCCUCCAGCGGAGCUCUCCAGGGCACUGGCUGCGGCGGGUCCGGGCAGGAUGGACGGCUCCAAAAGCAAGGCGAGCCGCAGGAGUGCGGGACCACUGAGAGGCGCGGCCGGAGGCAAAAGCUGAUGGCCCCGGGCUCUCACACUGUCUGCCACUCGCCACUCACAUCACAGGCGGGCUUUGGGGCCCUCGGGGUGGGAUUCCAAGGGGCUAUGCCUGGGGCUCCCCUGGCCUCCCCUUCAGCUGGUGCGGAACGUGCUGUGGAGCAGUGCUCGCCGCAGCGGAGCGCUCCCCGCGUCUCCUGGAACCGAGCGCGCCGCCAGAAACAAUAAAAUAAGUCAGUAAAAUAAAGAAACCAAAGAAGAAUGUGGAAGAGACACUGCAACAUAACCGUUGCUACCAGCACUCCGAGCUAUCUUCAAGACACCACUGGCUUCCUGAGGAAACUACAAUCCAUCGGUGAUCUUCCU